CUGUUACGGAGCUGCUUCCUCUCCCUAGCCUCACCCUGCAGGAAUGCCAGUGAACAUACUGCUGACAUCUUGGAGCUCAGUACCCUCAUAGUGUAACGGCGUCAGUAGAUCUGCCUGUGCUUGGACUUCCUGUACUACCCAUUCCUGAGGGGCGAUGCUUCUGCAGGGCCUGUGACUUGGUGCACAACUUCAGACACCAUCAUCUUGCAGCAGCACCGCACCCUCACUAGCCAGGGUGUUGAUGACUUCCUCAAGGCCAAGGCCACAUUCAAGGCUUCGGACUUUAUUGAUGCGCUUGUGCUGAGCAAGGAUGAAAAUGGGAAGGAGUUGUCAGACGAGGACAUAUAAAUGGAGGCUGGCAUAUUCAUGAGUGCUGGAUAUGACAGCAGAGCCAGUGGCCUCUACUAGAUCCUGUACAACCUCACAAAACACCCAGACAUCGGGAGUGCUGCCAGCCUGUGAUGCAAGAGUCCUAAUCCUGAAGACAUUGAAUG
rnacentral:lncRNA from 1 species